AAGUCGUAACAAGGUUUCCGUAGGUGAACCUGCGGAAGGAUCAUUAACAGUGUAAUGUAUAAUGCAAAUUAUACCAUUCGCUUACCAUCAUGUGUGAAUUGUUUUGACUGACUUGAGUGGGAGAGAGAGCUUGAGAGCGGUGCGAAGUUGGCUGAAAUAUGCUACUUGGCUCAAUGCACUCGCCCUCACUUCCGCUCACAUAUUUAACUAGUAAACCACUAUUCUACAAUGUACUGAGUCUGCUUUGCGUGUGUAAACAGCACCGAAGUUUAGUUGUGAAACUUGCAAAACUUUUAGCAAUGGAUCUCUAGGCUCUU
rnacentral:misc_RNA from 1 species